rnacentral:rRNA from 1 species
AAUGAACGCUGGCGGCGUGUCUAACACAUGCAAGUCGAAUGUGCCGCAAGGUGCAUGGCAGACGGGUGAGUAACGCGUGGGCAAUCUACCUUCUCGUGGGGAAUAACGCUCCGAAAGGAGUGGUAAUACCGCAUGAGACCCAUGGCUGGGAUGCUGUGGGUGAAACCUGGGGACCUUCGGGCCUGGGGCGAGAAGAGGAGCCUGCGUCUGAUUAGCUAGUUGGUGGGGUAACGGCCUACCAAGGCGACGAUCAGUAGCCGGCCUGAGAGGGUGAUCGGCCACACUGGAACUGGGACACGGUCCAGACUCCUACGGGAGGCAGCAGUGGGGAAUUUUGCGCAAUGGGCGAAAGCCUGACGCAGCAGCGCCGCGUGGGUGAUGAAGGUCUUCGGAUCGUAAAACCCUGUCGUUGGGGACGAAGGUGGGGCGGUGAAUAGCCGCUUUGCUUGACGGUACCCGGAGAGGAAGCCCCGGCUAACUCUGUGCCAGCAGCCGCAGUAACAC